AAAUUGAAGAGUUUGAUCAUGGCUCAGAUUGAACGCUGGCGGCAGGCCUAACACAUGCAAGUCGAACGGUAACAGGAGUCAGCUUGCUG
rnacentral:rRNA from 1 species